rnacentral:lncRNA from 1 species
AUGGGGGGCACUGUUCCCAGCUGCUAUGGGCUGGAAGACUACCGGCCUCACCGCCCCAUCCUGAGCCCCGGAGUAGGGGUGGGGGGUGGGCCGGGGCAACUUCACAACGCCGUAGGCAAUAUGGGCGGGGUCCCUGGCAUCAGCGAUCGAGGUGGGGGGCCGGGGAGCAGUUCUGGAGGGAGCAAUUCCGGUUCCUUCCUGGGCUCCCUGUUUGGGAGCAAGCGCGCCAAACCCCCUCCUCCCCUUACUCCCCCGGGGCCACAUUACCCGGCCCCCGUGCCACCUCCUACUACAGGAGGGCCGCCGCCUCCGUCCCCCUCCGCCCUCAGCCAGUCAGAUCCAGGUGGGCCGUCCAAGAUCCAAGCGCUGCACGCUCAGUACUGUCACAACAACUUUGGCCAGCCUCCGCCCCCUUACCACCAUCAUCAUCGGUACCAUAUGCAGGCCGUCGCCCCUGGCCAUCCACCCGCUAUCCAUCAUAUCCUACAUCGAGGGUCCCUCCCACGGCGCGGGCCACCCGUGCCUUCACACACCCAGCUCCAGCAGCACCAAUCCCAUCAUGCUAUGCAGCAAGGCCGCUACGGCAAUAUGGCCUGCACCCCUCCGCCUCUGUCCCCGCAUUCACCCAAUUCCCCUAUCGCCCCUUUCACCUUCUACCACAUGCAUCCCAAUCCCAUACGCCACGUACGGAUGCCCGGUCCUACCGGCAAACUUCCUCUCACCCUGUCUCACUCUCAGCCCCACCCUCACGCCCACUCCCACGCUCACUCUCAUACCCACAGCCAUCUCGUCCAUGCCCACAGCCCACACCCCUUGCUAGAUCACUCCGCCCAUCCAACUCACUUCGUUUUCUCACCACCCCUCAGGCACCAUCCGCUAUCACCGCCCGCUACAUACCCCAGGGCGCCGCCCACUACAUCCCACAGUAUCCACCCCUCUCUUCCAUCCCACCUCCUCCACCACAUUCCCCGUUACCUCCACCUUCAUCCCCACAUACCCCCCUCACCCCCCUCACACCUCUUACCCCACUCUCCCCGCUGGCCCCGCAACUCCCAGGACCCAUGGGGGCACAGUCGGGCGGACCAGGGAGCGGAGGAGGAGGCGGAGCCAGCAACAGCAGCACGGUCGGCAGCUCCAAAUCCAAACCUAUCAACCGCAUCAGCACGGUGGUGUGAGAGUAAGUCACAACAGAGGGCGCAGGGGGCCAUUGCGGAGGAGCCGGAGUCCAGGCAAGAGGAAGCACACCAUACUCAGACUCUGUUACUUCCAUAUCCGCUUCCCUCACGUGUAGAGCGGGAAUCCUGGCCGGCUACAUGCUCAUUGCUAGCCUGGAUGGCCUCUUGCUGUUGGCCGCCAAUCAAAACAAAGGCUGUGUAA